rnacentral:rRNA from 1 species
UACGGAGGGGGCUAGCGUUAUUCGGAAUUACUGGGCGUAAAGCGCACGUAGGCGGCUUUGUAAGUUAGAGGUGAAAGCCUGGAGCUCAACUCCAGAAUUGCCUUUAAGACUGCAUCGCUUGAAUCCAGGAGAGGUGAGUGGAAUUCCGAGUGUAGAGGUGAAAUUCGUAGAUAUUGGGAAGAACACCGGUGGCGAAGGCGGCUCACUGGCUCAUUACUGACGCUCAGGCGCGAUAGCGUGGGGAUCAAACAGG